CCUACGGGGGGCAGCAGUGGGGGAUAUUGCACAAUGGGGGGAACCCUGAUGCAGCGACGCCGCGUGGGUGAAGAAGCGCCUCGGCGUGUAAAGCCCUGUCAGCAGGGAAGAAAAUGACGGUACCUGAAGAAGAAGCCCCGGCUAACUACGUGCCAGCAGCCGCGGUAAUACGUAGGGGGCAAGCGUUAUCCGGAUUUACUGGGUGUAAAGGGGGCGCAGACGGCGAUGCAAGCCAGGAGUGAAAGCCCGGGGCCCAACCCCGGGACUGCUCUUGGAACUGCGGGGCUGGAGUGCAGGAGAGGCAAGCGGAAGGCGUGGUGUAGCGGUGAAAGGAGUAGAUAUCAGGAGGAACACCAGUGGCGAAGGCGGCCUACUGGACUGGAACUGACGUUGAGGCUCGAAAGCGUGGGGAGCAAACAGGAUUAGAUACCCUGGUAGUC
rnacentral:rRNA from 1 species